rnacentral:rRNA from 1 species
AACGAACGCUGGCGGCAUGCCUAACACAUGCAAGUCGAACGAGAUCUUCGGGUCUAGUGGCGCACGGGUGCGUAACGCGUGGGAAUCUGCCCUUUGGUUCGGAAUAACAGUUGGAAACGACUGCUAAUACCGGAUGAUGACGAAAGUCCAAAGAUUUAUCGCCAGAGGAUGAGCCCGCGUAGGAUUAGCUAGUUGGUGUGGUAAAGGCGCACCAAGGCGACGAUCCUUAGCUGGUCUGAGAGGAUGAUCAGCCACACUGGGACUGAGACACGGCCCAGACUCCUACGGGAGGCAGCAGUGGGGAAUAUUGGACAAUGGGCGAAAGCCUGAUCCAGCAAUGCCGCGCGAGUGAUGAAGGCCUUAGGGUUGUAAAGCUCUUUUACCCGGGAUGAUAAUGACAGUACCGGGAGAAUAAGCACCGGCUAACUACGUGCCAGCCGCCGCGGUAA